rnacentral:rRNA from 1 species
AGUAAUGUAUGGGGAUCUGCCUGAUGGCGGGGGAUAACUACUGGAAACGGUAGCUAAUACCGCAUAAUGUCUUCGGACCAAAGCGGGGGACCUCCGGGCCUCGCGCCAUCAGAUGAACCCAUAUGGGAUUAGCUUGUAGGUGAGGUAACGGCUCACCUAGGCGACGAUCCCUAGCUGGUCUGAGAGGAUGAUCAGCCACACUGGGACUGAGACACGGCCCAG